CGGUACCACUACAACCGACACCGGUACCAGUAUCACCAGGACCAGGAGCACCGGUACCGGGCGGUGAGGGUACAUCCGGUACCGGGAGGUACCAGGAGGACCGUCACCCCCGGUACCACCGAUACCGGCAGGUCCAUCUCCACCGGUACCACCGCUACCGACGCCGGUACCGUCGGCACAUCCGGUCCCGCCAUUGCCGGUACCAUCGCUACCGGUACCGUCGGCGUCACCGGUACCGCCGUGACCAGCACCGCUGCUGCCAUCAUUGACGGUACCACCAGCACCGGUACCACCAGUCCCAUCAGCAACGGUGCCACCGGUACCGGUACCACCAGUACCACCAGUACCACCGGCACCACCGGUACCACCGGUCCCAUCAUUGACAGCCCUACCAGAACCAGCCCCACCGGUACCACCGGUCCCAUCAUUGACAACCCUACUGGAGUCAGUCCCACCGGUACCACCAGCCCCACCAUUGACAACCCCACCGGAACCAGCCCCAGAGGUUCCACUGGACCCACCAUUGACGGCACCAUCGGAACCAAGCC
rnacentral:lncRNA from 1 species